CCGGCACGGGUGCGUAACGCGUAUGCAACCUACCAUCAACAGGGGGAUAACACUGAGAAAUUGGUACUAAUACCCCAUAAUAUCUCAUGCGGCAUCGCAUGGGGUUGAAAACUCCGGUGGUUGAUGAUGGGCAUGCGUUGUAUUAGCUGGUUGGUGAGGUAACGGCUCACCAAGGCGACGAUACAUAGGGGGACUGAGAGGUUAACCCCCCACCAUUGGUACUGAGACACGGACCAAACUCCUACGGAAGGCAGCAG
rnacentral:rRNA from 1 species